rnacentral:rRNA from 1 species
GACGAACGCUGGCGGCGUGCCUAAUACAUGCAAGUAGAACGCUGAAGGAGGAGCUUGCUUCUCUGGAUGAGUUGCGAACGGGUGAGUAACGCGUAGGUAACCUGCCUGGUAGCGGGGGAUAACUAUUGGAAACGAUAGCUAAUACCGCAUAAUAGUAGAUGUCGCACGACAUUUGCUUAAAAGGUGCAAUUGCAUCACUACCAGAUGGACCUGCGUUGUAUUAGCUAGUUGGUGAGGUAACGGCUCACCAAGGCAACGAUACAUAGCCGACCUGAGAGGGUGAUCGGCCACACUGGGACUGAGACACGGCCCAGACUCCUACGGGAGGCAGCAGUAGGGAAUCUUCGGCAAUGGACGGAAGUCUGACCGAGCAACGCCGCGUGAGUGAAGAAGGUUUUCGGAUCGUAAAGCUCUGUUGUAAGAGAAGAACGAGUGUGAGAGUGGAAAGUUCACACUGUGACGGUAUCUUACCAGAAAGGGACGGCUAACUACGUG